UACGAAGGGAGCUAGCGUUGUUCGGAAUUACUGGGCGUAAAGCGCACGUAGGCGGGUCUUUAAGUCAGGGGUGAAAUCCUGGAGCUCAACUCCAGAACUGCCUUUGAUACUGAGGAUCUUGAGUCCGGGAGAGGUGAGUGGAACUGCGAGUGUAGAGGUGAAAUUCGUAGAUAUUCGCAAGAACACCAGUGGCGAAGGCGGCUCACUGGCCCGGUACUGACGCUGAGGCACGAAAGCGUGGGGAGCAAACAGG
rnacentral:rRNA from 1 species